GUGAGUGGCAUGUUGAGCUCCCUUACUAUUAUUGUGUUAUUAUUAAUGUCUUCUUUUAGAUCCCAGCUACCUUGAUGGAGAGAGAGGACCCACCAAGCACCAGCUAUUCCAGCUACCCUGUAUGAGCUUCCAGACAAGUGAGUGAAGUCACUGUGGACAUUCUAAUAACCCCAGUCAAGUUCGCAACUGAAUGAGUGACUUCAGCUAACAGCCCAUGGAGCAGAUGAAACGUCCAGCUGACACACCAAAUUAGGCUGCCGGACCGUUUGGAUUAUAACACCGAAUACUAUUUUAGUCCCUGCAAAUAAAGUCUAGGAUUAACUGGAUCCUGUAUGAGAAGAACAAUGUGGGAAAGUGGUAAUAAUUAAGUCAAAUAUGUGGAUCCAGAAUGAGGCCUGGUGUUCAGCCAGGGCCAAUGGGGUCAGCAAGGAAGCUAGAAGCAUGAAGGUCAACAGGACCAGGCCAAGGAGGUUGAUAUCUCCCAACCACCUCAGUCCUUGAGGAGUAAAUGGUCAUUCGGCACAACUGCCAAAGAGGAGAAACAAAUCCACUAGAGAGAGGUUAUAAGUAUCUAGUAAACAUGUGAAACACAUGAAACUCACUAGACAUUAACAGCAUACCAUGUUAUGCCUUCCAAAGUAGCUGGGAUAUUUUUUAGAAAAAGAUAAAUGUUCAAUAGGGGUAUGCUGACAUGGGCAACCACAUACAUUACUGACAUAUGGGUAAAUAUGAAUAAUCUGCUAAGAAAGCAAUUUGGCAAUGUUUGAAAAAGGUUAAAUGUGAUUUUUCUCUCACUCUUAAUUCUACCUCAAGAAAUACAUCCUAAACAAUAUAUUUAAAUACAAAUAGCGAGGAAGUCAAAUGAGCAUCAGAAGAGAGAUGGAGAAGUAAAUUCUGGAGUGUUCAUAAAAUGGAAUUUUUUUUGUAGUCAAUAAAAAGAAUUCCACCAGUACAAAAACACACAUUAAUAAAGA
rnacentral:lncRNA from 1 species